ACCACCAGCCUAGCUCGGACGGCAAGCGGCGGGAGAUUUUCAAAAUGGGAGCCCAGAGGCACCGCCCAGGCCUCGGAAGGUGUCAGGGAGAACUUUCCGUGGUUUCAGCGUCGUCGCCUGGAGCGGCGGUUUAGAGAGCCGAGCCUGAUGGGCGCCAAGGCCGGCUGGCUGCUUGGAGCGCUGCCUCGAAGGGACUGCGUGAAGGAAGCUAAUCCGGAGAACCCAGGCCAGAGCCUGGAAAUAUGGCGACCUGCAUCGGGGAGAAGAUCGAGGAUUUUAAAGUUGGAAAUCUGCUUGGUAAAGGAUCAUUUGCUGGUGUCUACAGAGCUGAGUCCAUUCACACUGGUUUGGAAGUUGCAAUCAAAAUGAUAAGAAAGCCAUGUACAAAGCAGGAAUGGUACAGAGAGUCCAAAAUGAGGUGAAAAUACAUUGCCAAUUGAAACAUCCUUCUAUCUUGGAGCUUUAUAACUAUUUUGAAGAUAGCAAUUAUGUGUAUCUGGUAUUAGAAAUGUGCCAUAAUGGAGAAAUGAACAGGUAU
rnacentral:sRNA from 1 species